CGUGUAGCCCUCGCCGGCGACGGACGUGUGCAGGUGUGCUCCCUCGGCAGUGCUCUUGGUAGUGAGGCCUGACACUUGUGCCUCCUCCCCCCCACGACGUGUUGUGUGUGCUGGUGGUGCCAUCCUCUCACCCCCCGCCCCCCUCUGGAUGUGAGAUAAACAUGGAAGCAAGUUAGGAAUUAAGAUAACCAAGAAGACAUUUAGUGGAAUAACUCGUGUGAGGAGAACAACGAGGAGGUGGUGAGAGAACAAGACACUGAGAGAAAACCAGCAGUGUGUUAGUGAGAGAACAAGACAUAAUAUAAACCAACAGCUUAAACCAACCACAGCUAAAACACUACACCAACAGCUAAAAUAAACCAACCAGAGCUAAAACACUACACCAACAGCUAAAAUAAACCAUCCACAGCUAAAACACUAAACCAACAGCUAAAAUAAAACCAAAUAUUCUAGACUUAACCGAAAACCCAAGUGAAUGAACAAGUACUCAGCUAAUGAACAAGUACUAAAGCUAAUGAACAUGUACUAAAGCUAAUGAACAUGUACUUAAGCUAAUGAACAUGUACUAAAGCUAAUGAACAUGUACUCAAGCUCCUGUAAUUGUACUAAAUCAUGCAGUACAGUACACCAUUAUAAAGAUGAGAGAGAAAUGGAGAUAACUGAGAGAUGAAGAGAAGUAGAGAGGAGAGAAAUAGAGAGAAGUGAGAGAAAUAGAGAGAAGUGAGAGAAUCAAGAGAAAUACGGAGAAGUGAGAGAACUAGAGAAAAAGAAGAGAAAUAAAAGAGAAUGAAGAGAGAAUACAAUACAUAUGUAAACAAAAUAUGUGUACAGAAAGUGUCGAUGUGUACAGUAAGACAGUACCGUAAAUAGCACAGUACGUGAACAAUAACGAGUGAACAACGGUGAGAAUAAUAUGAACAAUACCGAGACCAAUAUGAACAAUAAUAAUGACAAAGUAAACAAUAACGAGUGAACAAUGUGAUCAAUAACGAGUGAACAAUGUGAACAAUAAUGA